rnacentral:piRNA from 1 species
UCCUGCAACAUGUCAACCUGAGAUGG